AAAAGUUGGCGGAGAGAGGAAAGUCCGGGCUCCAAAGGACACCGUGGUGGGUAACGCCCAUCGCAUUACCAUAUGGUGCCAUGCACCAUAUGGUACGCAGGAACAGUGCCACAGAGACGAGUCUUCGUUUGCUUUCGGGCAGACGAAGGGUGAAACGCGGCAAACUCCACGGGGAGCAAGGUCAAAUAGGUUCUGCUUAUGAGCUGGUCCGGCCAAUUCUUUCAUGUCGCUUAAGCCAUGAAAGGUGGCAGAACGGGUAGACUGCUUGAGCCAUCUGGUAACAGAUGGCCUAGAGGAAUGAUCAUCAUCCGCCGCGGCAACGCGUCGGUUACAAAACCCGGCUUACAGAUCCCGCAUUUUUGA
rnacentral:RNase_P_RNA from 2 species